rnacentral:misc_RNA from 1 species
CCGAGUUAUACAACUCCUCAACCCUGUGAACAUACCUAACUUGUUGCCUCGGCGGAAUCAGCCCGGCCCCGUAAAACGGGACGCCCCGCCAGAGGACCCCUAACUCUGUUUCUAUAAUGUACUUCUGAGUAAACCAGAAAUAAAUCA